rnacentral:tRNA from 2 species
GGAGGGAUGGCAGAGCGGUUGAAUGCACUGGUCUUGAAAACCAGCAAGGGCUAAUACCCUUCCAGGGUUCGAAUCCCUGUCCCUCCA